CUACCUUUGCCUUUCUACCCUUUGAAGCCUCAGAUCCCUAUUCUCUUUAUCUUAGUCCAGAAUGAUGUAUGUACCACAUUUUUCCUGUCUUUGGAAUCUCUCAUGUGGAUUCCUUAUAUGUACAUGAUUAAAUAUGAUUUUCUCCUGCUAAUCAGUCUCAUGUCAAUUUAAUUUUUAGAUCAGCUGAAAGCAACGUUAAAGAGAAGAGUAAAAUCUUUCUUCUUCAACAAUGGUGUGAGCUGUGUUCUGAAGCUCACCUGGCCUCUGACCGAGUGUUUCUGUCUCUGGCACACAGCCCUAUUUGGAGUCUCCAAAUCAGCAGAUUCCUGCCUCCAAAGAAGGAAGAAAUAUUCACUGCCCAAAUGCAGUUUCAUUCCUUCAAGAAGAAAAGUUCUCUCUCACACUUUCUGAGGGAAGAUGAUAUGAAGACACACAAGGGGAAGGCCAUGUGAAGACGGAAGGAUAGGAGGCAUGCAUCUACAAUGAAUGUCAAAGACUGCUGACAAACCACCAGAAGCUUAGGAAGAGCAAGGAAGGAUUCCCCUAUUGGUUUCAGAAGAAGCAUGGCCAUGCCAUUACCCUGAUUUUAGAAUUCUAGCUUCUAAAACAAUAGGAAAAUAAAUUUCUGUUGUUUUAAGUCACCCAGUUUAUGUUACACUUUUAUUCUUAUUAGUGGAUUAAAGAUUUUAAUUUUAUAUUGUCUGCUUUCCUGUGAGACACAAAGUUUUUAAUAUAUUCUAUGACUUUCUACACCACUUGAUUUAGCUUUGUACAUAUUUUGGAUCUAUAUUAAUAUAAGAAAUUGAUCCGUAAACUCUUUUUUUCUUGUUUGUUGUUGUUCAUUUGGUUUGUUGUCUUUAAUGUUUAAUUAGUCCAUUUUUCUAGACUGAAUUUGCAAAAGCCUUUGUUUUACUUUUUAUUAUUUAUUUCUAGAGGCAGCUUUGUGUCCUGUUUCAUUAAUUGUUUUUUCUUAUCAUAAAUAUUUCCUUUAUCUUUUAUUUAGUUUAUUCGGAUUUUCUUUUUCUCUCUUCUUAAAAAUUGCUAUGUACCUCAAAAAUUUGGCCUUUCAGGGCAUGUGGGUGGCUCAGUAGGUUGGGCAUCUGACCCUUGGUUUUGGCUGGGGUCAUGAUCUCCAGGUCCUGGGACCAAGCCUUGCACAGGGUUCCCCAUAUGGAAGGGAGUCUGCUUGUCUACCUUUCUCUCUGCCCCU
ensembl:lincRNA